CGAACUCGGAGAUAGCUGGUUCUCCCCGAAAUAGCUUUAGGGCUAGCCUCAUAUUAGAUACCCGGAGGUAAAGCACUGAAUGGCCUAGCGCCCGAGAGGGUAGCGAAGCCUAUCAAACUAAGAAUGCCGGAGUAUUGAUGUAUGGGAGUCAGACAGUGUGAGAUAAAUCUCAUUGUCAAAAGGGAAACAGCCCAGAUCUACAGCUAAGGUCCCAAAUUGUAUCUAAGUGGAAAACGAUGUGGAAAUACGCAGACAACCAGGAUGUUGGCUCAGAAGCAGCCACUCAUUUAAAGAGUGCGUAAUAGCUCACUGGUCGAGAGACGCUGCGCCGAAAAUGUCCGGGGCUCAAGCACGGAACCGAAGCUAUGGCAUGAUAGCAAUAUCAUGGGUAGGGGAGCGUUCUUAUAAGGAAGAAGCAUGACCGGAAGGACAUGUGGACGAAUAAGAAGUGAGAAUGCCGGUAUGAGUAUCGAAAAGAAAGGUGAGAAUCCUUUCCACCGAAAGCCCGAGGGUUCCUGAGCAACGAUCGUCGACUCAGGGUAAGUCGGGACCUAAGCCGAGGCGAGAAGCGUAGGCGAUGGACAACAGGUUGAAAUUCCUGUACCGGAUCAAGUCGAUCGAGCGAAGGAGCGACGCAGGAGGGCACAUGAUCGCGCGGCUGGAAGAGCGCGUCCAAGUGCGUAUGUUGCAGCAGAGGAAAACCCCUGCAGCUAAAAGCAGAGACAUGAUGGGGAGUUAAAGGAAACUUUGACGAACUCAUGGAUCCCACACUGCCAAGAAAAACUUCUAGCGAGACAAGAUCCGCCCGUACCGUAAACCGACACAGGUAGGCGGGGAGAGAAUCCUAAGGUGCGCGGGAAAACCCUCGUUAAGGAACUCGGCAAAUUGCAUCCGUAACCUAGGGAGAAGGAUGGCCCCCGGUCAGUGAAGAGCAGAAACGCUCAGAGCUAAAAGGGGCGGCAGAAAAGAGGCCCAAGCAACUGUUUACCAAAAACACAGGUGCCUGCGAAAGCGAAAGCUGAAGUAUAGGUGCUGACGCCUGCCCGGUGCCGGAAGGUUAAGGAGAGAAGUUAGCGAAAGCGAAGCAUCGAACUGAAGCCCCGGUGAACGGCGGCCGUAACUAUAACGGUCCUAAGGUAGCGAAAUUCCUUGUCGGGUAAG
rnacentral:rRNA from 1 species